rnacentral:lncRNA from 14 species
AGCCAGCACACCUGUGAAUAUUGGCUUUAGAGACAGCUACAUACAUGAUCAAACUCAGGCCUUCGAUAUGCGACAUCUACGGUGGAGCGAUUAGGGAAGUUUCCUUCCCAGGAUGGUAGCAGCACACGAAGGGAGGGUCCCCCUUCGGUCUCUCAAAUGGAAGGCUCGCAGGAGGGGAAAGUAGGAAGUACCUGCUGAAGGGCUUCUGUCAAGGUGCCCUUGGCUUAGGGUGUAGACAACCACACGGGCAGGGUUCACGUAUCCAGUGUGUCUCCGGCUACAGAGCCUGCAGUUGGCCCGGCUGCUCCAGGUUCUCAAAUUUAGCUUGCGGACGCCACAAAUACAGUCCUCCCAGCUGUGCGUCUGUGAGCCUCUCUGCUUUCAGCAGGGCAGGGAAGCCAGGCCGGGCAAACCUCCAGGCCUUGGGAUUGACCUUCUG